CGGCACGGCAGUUCCUGCCAGAUCAAACUGGGCGGGUUUCACAUUCAAAUCCCACCCCACUUGGAGGUCACACUCCAGGCAACGUGUCCCAAGCUGCUCGCUGAUGGGAAGGCUGGCGCUGGUGUUUUUAUAGUGAGCAAACAAACAGGGAGAGCUGCAGAGAGGGAGCAGGAGCAAUGAUUAACACGCAGCUGCUCCACUGAGGAAGUCAAACAGAUGCAUUAUUGUCUCUGAGGACUCCUGGCUGAAGGUACCUGUUUUUAAACAAAGCUUGCUACAUCCCAGUGCAUCAUUUCAAGCAGCACAUUGGCCUGUGAGUUCCAAGGCAUAGCUCCCCUGGCUCCUUCCUGACAUUGCACCAGAGGAGCAGCAGGGCCACCUCACCCCACUGCAUGCAAUGUGCAGGAGAAAGCCUCUCUAGAAUAUAUGUGAGUUGUGUUUUGUGCUCAUAGUGUACCUGAUGGGCUUCCCACAGCAAGCCUAACGAUAACCUCAGAAAGAUGCUGUGCGACAUCUGUUCAAAGUUAUUGAGGUGCUGUGGUGAAACCAUUGGGGUUUAAAUAGAGCACUUUGAGUGAGUAGCCUUGUGGCUUGUGACAUUUUGCAAUUUGGAGCAAAGUUUCCACAAGUGCAAUGCUGAAGUGGGCACGCAGAAGCUACCAGUUGAGUUACUCACAAUGGGUGUGUUCAUCUUUUUCUUCUACUCCCAUAUCACAGAUGUGUCACCCUUUGUGUCCUUCCUUGUGGCAAGGGACACGUUCGCUCCAGGGCCCGUUUUUGUCACCAGAAGGCAAUGUGAAGCAUCCCUCACGUAUCUGCCCAAUCUUGCUCUGGCCUGAUGAGGUUCUGCUGCCAGAAACUGGAAACGACCCCUGUGCUUCAUCAAGUGGGAUAACACAGGCAUGUGAAGGGUGCAGUUGUGAAUGCAAAGCUCAUAGUGGUGUUCUGAAGAUAAAAUUCAGGAUGGAUCUAGUUCAAAAGUCACCAAAAUGCGAUGGGAGGAUCACCAAGAUUAAGAUGGUGCCCAGACAGCUGGCAACGGGAAAAGGCUCUGCAACACAGUUUACUCUCAUCCUGUCGGCUGUGGGUAAGCCAGCAUACCUACUGCUGUGAUAACUGAGCACCUGUCAAGAUACUAUAUUGCUAGUCAUGGAAAUGGAAGUCAUCUCAGAUUUAUCUACAGAGAAGCUGACAUUGCUGCCUGGCGAGUUUCUCAGCUUUUGUGACUCAACCUUGACCCUCAAGGAUCUACUUCUCAAGGCAAGAAAGCAACAAAUUCUCCUCACGGAUUUAAUCACUGUCUCCUCUGCUAUGGGUUCUGAUUCAUGAGGUGGUAAAGAUCUCUUUAACCAAACCAGAUCACCUGGAAGUAGUCACAGCUACAGGACACAGUGCACACACUUGCCACAAGCUGACUUUGGCAUUCCAGGUCCCAGUAAUACCCACAGUGAAGUGGAAAACUGCUCCUUGCUUGUGGAUCACUGAUGCUAAUGGGCACCUUUCAGACAUUAAGGCUUUGGCCAUAUUUGAACUGCAAGACAUUCUUUAUGCCCUCAUUGUCCUUCGAGCUCACAAAGGAUGCUCAUAAUCUUGCAAAAAAGCCACGCUCCAAAGUCAUCAAGUGAUAUUAGAUUGUAUCUCAAAACCACUAGAGGUGAGUGCUCAAAGAUUCCUGUCUCUUAAUACUGAAUUGCUCCAUUAGAACUUCCAGUACAAGCAAGUGUGAUUUGUCCUGUGCAUUGCUGUCUUUCUCGGCUAAUGCUUUUCACAUAAGUCCAGGUUUAAGUUCUCUCCCUUUCUUUUUCCAGGUUCCCUCCAUUUCCCAGAAGGUGUCCCAGAGCUGGAGACAAUUCAGCUGCCAAGACACUGCCUUUCUCACCUGCUGAUUGCAAUUAGCCACUGCCAGCUGGGACCUGGUGUGCAACUGAAGAGCUAACAAGAAGCAGAGACCAGCAGGACGCCUUGACAGGCCAUACACAGUGAAUAAAUACGAAAUACUGCACUGUGUUCCUGAGGUU
rnacentral:lncRNA from 1 species